AUACCCGCUCCGCGAGUGGUGGGGACUUUUACUGGGCUUAAAGCGCCCGUAGCCGGCUGGGUGUGUCCUCCGUUAAAUCCACAGGCCUAACCUGUGGGCUGCGGGGGAUACUACCCGGCUUGGGGGUGGGAGAGGGCGGCGGUAUUCCCGGGGUAGGGGUAAAAUCCACUGAUCCCGGGAGGACCACCAGUGGCGAAGGCGGCCGCCCAGAACACGCCCGACGGUGAGGGGCGAAAGCUGGGGGAGCAAACGGAAUUAGAAACCCUGGUAGUCC
rnacentral:rRNA from 1 species